GAUGAACGCUGGCGGCGUGCCUAAUACAUGCAAGUAGAACGCUGAAGCUUGGUGCUUGCACCGAGCGGAUGAGUUGCGAACGGGUGAGUAACGCGUAGGUAACCUGCCUCUUAGCGGGGGAUAACUAUUGGAAACGAUAGCUAAUACCGCAUAAAAGUCGAUAUCGCAUGAUAUUGAUUUGAAAGGUGCAAAUGCAUCACUAAGAGAUGGACCUGCGUUGUAUUAGCUAGUUGGUGAGGUAACGGCUCACCAAGGCGACGAUACAUAGCCGACCUGAGAGGGUGAUCGGCCACACUGGGACUGAGACACGGCCCAGACUCCUACGGGAGGCAGCAGUAGGGAAUCUUCGGCAAUGGGGGCAACCCUGACCGAGCAACGCCGCGUGAGUGAAGAAGGUUUUCGGAUCGUAAAGCUCUGUUGUAAGAGAAGAACGAGUGUGAGAGUGGAAAGUUCACACUGUGACGGUAACUUACCGGAAAGGGACGGCUAACUACGUG
rnacentral:rRNA from 1 species